UACGGGGGGGCAAGCGUUGUUCGGAAUUCCUGGGCGUAAAGGGCUCGUAGGCGGCCAACUAAGUCAGACGUGAAAUCCCUCGGCUUAACCGGGGAACUGCGUCUGAUACUGGAUGGCUUGAGAUUGGGAGAGGGAUGCGGAAUUCCAGGUGUAGCGGUGAAAUGCGUAGAUAUCUGGAGGAACACCGGUGGCGAAGGCGGCAUCCUGGACCAACACUGACGCUGAGGAGCGAAAGCCAGGGGAGCAAACGGG
rnacentral:rRNA from 1 species